rnacentral:rRNA from 1 species
UACGUAGGGGGCAAGCGUUGUCCGGAUUUAUUGGGCGUAAAGAGCGUGUAGGCGGCUUUACAGGUCCGUUGUGAAAACUCGAGGCUCAACCUCGAGACGCCGGUGGAAACCGCAAGGCUAGAGUCCGGAAGAGGAGAGUGGAAUUCCUGGUGUAGCGGUGAAAUGCGCAGAUAUCAGGAGGAACACCCGUGGCGAAAGCGGCUCUCUGGGACGGUACUGACGCUGAGACGCGAAAGCGUGGGGAGCAAACAGG